AUGAUAAGGCACUGUGUUCCCCUGAUGGCAUAUUUCUGACUAGUGAUACAUGUUGCUCAAUUAUUUUCUCAGAAAUAUCUGGUGUCAGUACCCGCUUAUCAUCUGUGUGAGAGUACUCAUUCUGACUCCUUUUCCUGAACUUUUUCACAAUAGCAAAGUCAUGGAAUUAACCUAAAUGCCCAUCAAUAAUAGACUGGAUAAAGAAAAGGUGGUACAUAUGCAGCCAUAAAAAGGAAUGAGAUCAUGUCCUUUGCCAGUACAUGGAUGGAGUUGAAACCAUUAUCCUCAGCAAAC
rnacentral:lncRNA from 1 species